AUCAUUAACUGAAUCCAUAGGUUAAUGAGGCGAACCGGGGGAACUGAAACAUCUAAGUACCCCGAGGAAAAGAAAUCAACCGAGAUUCCCCCAGUAGCGGCGAGCGAACGGGGAGGAGCCCAGAGCCUGAAUCAGCAUGUGUGUUAGUGGAAGCGUCUGGAAAGGCGCGCGAUACAGGGUGACAGCCCCGUACACAAAAGCGCAUGUGCUGUGAGCUCGAUGAGUAGGGCGGGACACGUGAUAUCCUGUCUGAAUAUGGGGGGACCAUCCUCCAAGGCUAAAUACUCCUGACUGACCGAUAGUGAACCAGUACCGUGAGGGAAAGGCGAAAAGAACCCCGGCGAGGGGAGUGAAAAAGAACCUGAAACCGUGUACGUACAAGCAGUGGGAGCACCCUUUUGGGUGUGACUGCGUACCUUUUGUAUAAUGGGUCAGCGACUUAUAUUCUGUAGCAAGGUUAACCGAAUAGGGGAGCCGGAGGGAAACCGAGUCUUAACCGGGCGUUAAGUUGCAGGGUAUAGACCCGAAACCCGGUGAUCUAGCCAUGGGCAGGUUGAAGGUUGGGUAACACUAACUGGAGGACCGAACCGACUAAUGUUGAAAAAUUAGCGGAUGACCUGUGGCUGGGGGUGAAAGGCCAAUCAAACCGGGAGAUAGCUGGUUCUCCCCGAAAGCUAUUUAGGUAGCGCCUCGUGAAUUCAUCUCCGGGGGUAGAGCACUGUUUCGGCUAGGGGGCCAUCCCGGCUUACCAACCCGAUGCAAACUGCGAAUACCGGAGAAUGUUAUCACGGGAGACACACGGCGGGUGCUAACGUCCGUCGUGAAGAGGGAAACAACCCAGACCGCCAGCUAAGGUCCCAAAGUCAUGGUUAAGUGGGAAACGAUGUGGGAAGGCCCAGACAGCCAGGAUGUUGGCUUAGAAGCAGCCAUCAUUUAAAGAAAGCGUAAUAGCUCACUGGUCGAGUCGGCCUGCGCG
rnacentral:rRNA from 1 species